AUAGCCAUGCAUGUCUCAGUACAUGCCGAAUUAAGGUGAAACCGCGAAUGGCUCAUUAAAUCAGUUAUGGUUCAUUAGAUCGUGGACACAUUUACUUGGAUAACUGUGGUAAUUCUAGAGCUAAUACAUGCAAACAGAAUUCCUCUCAGAGAUGGGAGGAAUGCUUUUAUUAGAUCAAAACCAAUCGGUGGCGGACGGCUCGUCCGUUCGUCCAUCGUUUGUUUUGGUGACUCUGAAUAACUUUGUGCUGAUCGCAUGGUCAUCUAGCACCGGCGACGCAUCUUUCAAAUGUCUGCCUUAUCAACUGUCGAUGGUAGGUUCUGCGCCUACCAUGGUUGUAACGGGUAACGGGGAAUCAGGGUUCGAUUCCGGAGAGGGAGCCUGAGAAACAGCUACCACAUCCAAGGAAGGCAGCAGGCGCGCAAAUUACCCACUCCCGGCACGGGGAGGUAGUGACGAAAAAUAACGAUACGGGACUCAUCCGAGGCCCCGUAAUCGGAAUGAGUACACUUUAAAUCCUUUAACGAGGACCAAUUGGAGGGCAAGUCUGGUGCCAGCAGCCGCGGUAAUUCCAGCUCCAAUAGCGUAUAUUAAAGUUGUUGCGGUUAAAAAGCUCGUAGUUGAAUCUGUGUGUCACAGUGUCGGUUCACCGCUCGCGGUGUUUAACUGGCAUUAUGUGGUACGUCCUAUCGGUGGGCUUAGCUCCUUGCGGGCGGUCCAACUAAUAUCCCAUCGCGGUGCUCUUCACUGAGUGUCGAGGUGGGCCGAUACGUUUACUUUGAAAAAAUUAGAGUGCUUAAAGCAGGCUACCUUUGCCUGAAUACUGUGUGCAUGGAAUAAUGGAAUAGGACCUCGGUUCUAUUUUGUUGGUUUUCGGAACCCCGAGGUAAUGAUUAAUAGGGACAGAUGGGGGCAUUCGUAUUGCGACGUUAGAGGUGAAAUUCUUGGAUCGUCGCAAGACGGACAGAAGCGAAAGCAUUUGCCCAAAAAUGUUUUCAUUAAUCAAGAACGAAGUUAGAGGU
rnacentral:rRNA from 1 species